rnacentral:tRNA from 9 species
GCGCCUGUAGCUCAGCUGGAUAGAGCAACGGACUUCUAAUCCGUGGGCCGAGAGUUCGAAUCCCUCCAGGCGCACCA